GACGAACGCUGGCGGCGUGCUUAACACAUGCAAGUCGAACGGAAAGGCCCUGCUUUUGUGGGGUGCUCGAGUGGCUAACGGGUGAGUAACACGUGAGUAACCUGCCCUUGACUUUGGGAUAACUUCAGGAAACUGGGGCUAAUACCGGAUAGGAGCUCCUGCUGCAUGGUGGGGGUUGGAAAGUUUCGGCGGUUGGGGAUGGACUCGCGGCUUAUCAGCUUGUUGGUGGGGUAGUGGCUUACCAAGGCUUUGACGGGUAGCCGGCCUGAGAGGGUGACCGGCCACAUUGGGACUGAGAUACGGCCCAGACUCCUACGGGAGGCAGCAGUGGGGAAUAUUGCACAAUGGGCGGAAGCCUGAUGCAGCAACGCCGCGUGCGGGAUGACGGCCUUCGGGUUGUAAACCGCUUUCGCCUGUGACGAAGCGUGAGUGACGGUAAUGGGUAAAGAGGCACCGGCUAACUACGUG
rnacentral:rRNA from 1 species